rnacentral:rRNA from 1 species
AGGGCAUUUGGUGAAUGUCUUGAUGCAUGCAGGCGAUGAAGGACGUGGGGCACUGCGAUAAUCCUCGACAAGUUGUGUACAAACAUUUGAGUCGGGGGUCUCCGAAUGGGGUAACCUACCUUUUUUAAGGUAUUUUGUUUUGAAUACAUAGAAGCAAAAAGCAAACCUAGGGAACUGAAACAUCUUAGUACCUAGAGGAAAGGAAAUCAAAGAGACUCCGUUAGUAGCGGCGAGCGAAACCGGAUCAGGCCAUUGUAAAAACUGCUUUAACCAGAAGUGUUAGGAAUAUCACACCAUAGAGAGUGAUAGUCUCGUAUGGGUAUGGAGCUUUUUUUGCACAGAGUAUAGCGGAACACUUGUAAUUCCGUUUGAACAUAGGGAGACCACUCUCUAAGCCUAAGUACUAGCAUGUGAUCGAUAGUGGACAAGUACCGUGAGGGAAAGAUGAAAAGUAUCUCGAGAGAGAGGUGAAAUAGUUCCUGAAACCGGAUGCCUACAAGCAGUGGGAGCAUAAUAUUUAUUUUUUGUGACCACGUACCUUUUGCAUAAGGGGUCAGCGAAUUUAUUUCUCAAGCAAGCUUAAACCGUUAGGUGUAGGCGUAGCGAAAGCGAGUGUUAAUAGCGCGUUUUAGUUUGAGUGAUAAGACCCGAAACCGGGUGAGCUAGUUAUGAGCAGGUUGAAGGAUGGGUAACACUGUCUGGAGGACCGAACCCACCAACGUUGCAAUGUUGGGGGAUGACUUGUGACUAGGGGUGAAAGGCCAAUCAAACCCGGAUAUAUCUGGUUCUCCGCGAAAUCUAUUUAAGUAGAGCGUCAAAAUUAUCAUGUUGGGGGUAGAGCACUAAUUGGGCUAGGGGGUCUAAACAACUUACUAAACCCAGAUAAACUCCGAAUACCAUCGUGUUAUUUUUUGGCAGACACACUAUGGGUGCUAAGUCCUUAGUGGAGAGGGAAACAACCCUGACCAUAGGUUAAGGUCCCUAAGUUAUACCUAAGUGCUUUAAAGGAUGUUGAAAAACUUAGACAGCUAGGAGGUUGGCUUGGAAGCAGCCACCCUUUAAAGAAAGCGUAACAGCUCACUAGUCGAGUUUUUCUGCACCGCAAAUGUUCGGGGCUAAGGUAUACACCGAAACCGUGGGCUUUUCUUUUGAAAAGCGGUAGCGGAGCGUUCCGUAAGCUGUAGAAGCAAUGCUGUGAAGUGUUGUGGAGGUAUCGGAAGUGAGAAUGCUGACAUGAGUAGCGAUAAAGAGUGUGAAAAACACUCUCGCCGUAAAUCUAAGGUUUCCCACGCAAUGAUAAUCAGCGUGGGGUUAGUCGGUCCCUAAGACGAGACCGAAAGGUGUAGUCGAUGGAAACUAGGUUAAUAUUCCUAGACCUUUGGGUGAGUGACGCUUUACAUAAGUUGUACUUCUUUAUUGGAUUAGAAGUGCUUCGAAGUAAAGCCAGGAAAUAGCCCCCAUUUAAAAGGCCGUACCGUAAACCGACACAGGUGGAUGGGUUGAGCAUACUAAGGCGCUUGAGAGAACUAUAUUGAAGGAACUCGGCAAAUUACCUUCGUAACUUAGGGAUAAGAAGGCCUCAUUUGUGGGCAACCAUUUUUGAGGGACACAAGAGAGGGGGUAGCGACUGUUUACUAAAAACAUAGGGCUCUGCAAAUCUUUUAAGGUGAUGUAUAGGGUCUGACGCCUGCCCGGUGCUAGAAGGUUAAUAGGAGGGGUGAGAGCUCUGAAUUGAAGCCCUAGUAAACGGCGGCCGUAACCAUAACGGUCCUAAGGUAGCAAAAUUCAUUGUCGGGUAAGUUCCGGAUUGCAUGAAUGGCGUAACGACUUCCCCACUGUCUCCAAUAUAGACUCAGCGAAAUUGAAUUCCCCGUGAAGAUGCGGGGUACCCGCGGUCAGACGGAAAGACCCCGUGAACCUUUACUAUAGCUUCGUAUUGGUUUUGGUCUUACUAUGUGUAGAAUAGGUGGGAGACUGUGAAGCAUGGACGCAAGUUUGUGAUGAGUCAUCGUUGAAAUACCACCCUUAGUAUUGCUGAAAUCUAACUGCGCUUCGUUUAUCCGGAGCCAAGACAGUGCGUGGUGGUUAGUUUGACUGGGGCGGUCACCUCCUAAAGAGUAACGGAGGUGUGCAAAGGUAAGCUCUAGGCGGUUGGAAAUCGCCUUAUAGAGUGCAAUGGCAUAAGCUUGCUUGACUGUGAGACUUACUAGUCGAACAGAGACGAAAGUCGGUCAUAGUGAUCCGGUAGUUUUGUGUGGAAAAGCUAUCGCUCAACGAAUAAAAGGUACUCCGGGGAUAACAGGCUAAUAGCGCUUAAGAGUUCAUAUCGACGGCGCUGUUUGGCACCUCGAUGUCGGCUCAUCGCAUCCUGGGGCUGUAGAAGGUCCCAAGGGUUUGGCUGUUCGCCAAUUAAAGCGGUACGUGAGCUGGGUUUAGAACGUCGUGAGACAGUUCGGUCCCUAUCUGCCGUGGGUUUCAGGAAAUUUGAAGGAUCCUGCUUCUAGUACGAGAGGACCGAAGUGUAUGCACCUAUGGUGUUCCUGUUGUUGCGCCAGCAGCAUAGCAGGGUAGCUAAGUGCAGAAGAGAUAACUGCUGAAAGCAUCUAAGCAGGAAGCUUUUCCUAAAAUAAUUUCCCUAAAGAGCCGUGGUAGACUACCACGUUGAUAGGUUGGGUGUGUAAUCCUGGUGACAGGUUCAGCUUACCAAUACUAAUAGCUCGUUUGGCUUUUU